GUAUCUGUUCCCUCUCUUGGUAAUCUGUCCCACUCCUAUAUCAUCAAUGCAGUUUUGGAAAUCAGUCAUUUCUGAGUUGUGUACUGGUUGCCCAUUAAGCAUGUCUUCCACUCCUAACACACUGUUGAAAUCACCUAUUAUAAGCCAUGGACCAUUGUAGUUGACAGUUCUCAGGGUAUCCCAUAGAGAUGCCCUUUGCUGUGUGGAAUGCAAUCCAUUAACAAAUGUGAUAUAGCUAGAGAAAGUGGAAUUCUUGUCUGUCACCCAGCAGCGGAUCAUUUUGUCAGUGGUUUGUAAAGGUACAACAUGGACAUUUGACCAUUUUCAUAUUAUCCAUAUCCUCCCAUUUGGUGCACAAGCAUAGUUAUUUGCAAUGUUCCAGUCAUCCCCAAGCUUCUUGUAUAUUGUCUGUGAUUGUGGUUGUUUUACUCUAGUUUCUAGACAAGCUACAAUAUCAACUUUGUUA
rnacentral:lncRNA from 1 species